AAGUUUCAUUUCAGUAGGCGAUGGGCCUCUACUGAAAGUCCUGGUUAGGUCCCACCAUUAACAUAAACCUACUCAAUGAUUCUAACUAAUGAAUGAUCAGAUCCGAGUAUAGCUCGACCAACCCAAUCAUUCAUCAGAUAGUACAAUAGAGUCAUCAUAUGAUGAAUGAUAAUUUCAUCAUUUAGAGAAACACUAGAUGGAUGGCGCCUGUAAUGUCAAUCAAAAAUAAUGGACCCAUUACCAUUCACCUUAAUGGGAAGCUAUGAUCUAAUUAUCAUCAUAACCAGCUCAUUUUAUGGACCUAAUAAUUUAGAGAAUUUGGUUAACACAAUCUAACAGAAUUAAAUUCACAGACCAGCUAAUCUCAAUCCUCCCACUGACUACACAAAGUCAGAUCAGGGUUGACUAGAAACAAGCCGAUCCAACUGACAAGUCAUCAAUCCUCCCACUGACUUCACUAAGUCAUGUUGAGGAUAAAGACAAGUCAAACUAAGGGCACCUAAAUCAGUCACCGUUGAUUUUCUAGUAAGCAUAGAUUAAAUCCUAAUCAUUAAGUGAUCUGAUCAAAAUAUGAUUUACCAUGUUGGCUAGAUAAGUG
rnacentral:lncRNA from 1 species